rnacentral:rRNA from 1 species
UGAGGAAAGCUUGCUUUCCUUGAUGACGACUGGCGCACGGGUGAGUAACGCGUAUCCAACCUUCCCAUAACUACGGGAUAACCCGUUGAAAGACGGCCUAAUACCGUAUGACAUCGUUUGCUGACAUCAAAUAACGAUUAAAGGUUUAGCGGUUAUGGAUGGGGAUGCGUCUGAUUAGCUUGUUGGCGGGGUAACGGCCCACCAAGGCGACGAUCAGUAGGGGUUCUGAGAGGAAGGUCCCCCACAUUGGAACUGAGACACGGUCCAAACUCCUACGGGAGGCAGCAGUGAGGAAUAUUGGUCAAUGGGCGAGAGCCUGAACCAGCCAAGUAGCGUGCAGGAAGACGGCCCUAUGGGUUGUAAACUGCUUUUAUGUGGGGAUAAAGUGCGUGACGUGUCGUGCAUUGCAGGUACCACAUGAAUAAGGACCGGCUAAUUCCGUGCCAGCAGCCGCGGUAAUACGGAAGGUCCGGGCGUUAUCCGGAUUUAUUGGGUUUAAAGGGAGCGUAGGCUGUCUAUUAAGCGUGUUGUGAAAUUUACCGGCUCAACCGGUGGCUUGCAGCGCGAACUGGUCGACUUGAGUAUGCAGGAAGUAGGCGGAAUUCAUGGUGUAGCGGUGAAAUGCUUAGAUAUCAUGACGAACUCCGAUUGCGCAGGCAGCUUACUGUAGCAUAACUGACGCUGAUGCUCGAAAGUGCGGGUAUCAAACAGGAUUAGAUACCCUGGUAGUCCGCACGGUAAACGAUGGAUGCUCGCUAU